CAUGGGAAAGAAAGGCAUAAUCGAGCCAGCACAACAGGGUGCCCAUGGGAGAGACAAUUUGGGUGAAAUGUAGAAGAUGGGGAAUUUUGGCUGAGAAGCACACACCUGAGAGGAGUGGUGUCUUGGAAGAUUCAGAAGUGGGAAGGGUGUAGUGUGGUAUGGGACUCGGAGGGCUGGCUGGACUCUAGGGUGUGUCACUGUAUGUAUGAGUUUGUGGGGUGGGGUCAGCAGGCCAAACCAGCAGGCAGGGAGGUGCUGGAUUAUGUAAAGCCUGAAUCUGGACCAUCCUGUGAGAACUGGAGGAGGCCAACUGAAGCAUGGCAAGAUUAUAAAUGAAAUUUGAAUGUAUUGUUUCAUGUGUGAUCUGAAAAACAGUCAGAGGGGAGACCAGGAGGCAGGGAGAUAAGUGAGAAGAGGGGAGAAACAGCCAUAAGGGACGAUGAUGGCAACGUGUCUAUAUUAGCUGCAGAGGGGGAGGACAAGAGAAAAGAUAUGAGAAAUCCUGGCACUAGUGUUCGUCUGGACAUCAGAGUGACCUAGAACACAGGAAGAUGAUGGCUUCAUCACAUGGUUUCUAGCUUGGGUGACUAGUUAGGUGACUAGGUGGCACAGUUAACCAGCAGAGGAGCUGAAUGUGGAUAGUUGACCAGGUACCUUGUGCUCAUGUGCUGCUUGCACAAUGCUCAGGGAUGUCAAAGUGUAGCCAUGGGGGAAAGAGACAGCCUGGAGCCUAGCAGAUACACACUGCUUGGGGGUACAGGAUGUACUUAAAAAUCCAGUCCAUCCGCAGUGUCCAAUACCUAUCUAACUGACCCCAGAGAACAGAGGAUGCUUAGCAUUGGUACAGAGAGGCAUAUAGGAAGUACACUAUGAAGUGAGGCAGACCACACAAGGAAACACCCAGGCCCCUGUCUGUCUGUGUGGUAUCAGAGCCACAAUAGGUACCAGAUCAGAUCUCUUUGUGUUGGAGCUUGUUGCGAGAUACAGUGUGCACUCAUUUCCUCUUCGCCCCCACCUGCUUCCCACUAUCGGUACCUCCUCGCCUUAGUCACCGAACUGAGUCAUCUUAGAGGCGAUUCUGGCCACCUUUCCAUCCAUCAGGGUGCACGGUUUGAGAAGGAGUGGCAGGGCAUAGGUUUUAUCAUAUGAUGGCUGACUGGGAGCAUGAAAAAACGGUCUCUACUCUGGGUUCUAAUCCACAUAUUGCCUUUGGAUUCUCAGAAGUUGGUGUCCAUGAUUCUUGGACAAUAAGAGAGGAAAAAUGUGAUGGAGAUCGAAUCUGUUUUGUGGGCUCAGCAAAUGCAGAACUUGUCGACAUCGGCUCCCAUUCAUACUGGCCAUAUAGGCAGUGGUAUUAUCCUCAGUGGGGUUAAUUAAGCCUUUCCUCAAGACUACACCGUCUUCUCCUGGAGUAAAAUAGAACACAUGCCCCGGCACUGCCUUCCAAGGGGUUCAAACAGUCUUCAGCAUGGAGCCAAAGUACAUCAUAUACAAGGAUCAGUGUUCAAGAUGGGAUGGCUGUAACAAAAGCAGGAAAAGUCAGACAGCUUGACGCAUUGACUUGAACUCCAUGUUUGAAGAAGGGGUAGUCACAGCCUCCAUGUGGUGUGGCAUUCAUGAUGCAGUGCCCAGAACAGGCUGUCAGCUGGCCACUGCACCCAUUUGACUCUCUGGAUCAUAGCAACUCCGGGGUGAAAGUUGCUUGGAGCUGUGCUUUGGAAAGCCUAUGUGAAUAAAUGUUUCCUGAUUCUAAAGCUCCGCAGUGAACGGAGGACCGUGUCCUUGCAGGGGAACCAGAGAAGGAGCUGCUUUCCCUGCUCAGGACUCUUGUUUGCUAAUACAAGUGUGUAGUGAAAGCAAACAAACCAAGUGCCUGCCAUAUUCGUGAGAAUACCUAAAAGAGUUGUCAGGCUCAGUGGUCACAUCCUGAAGCAUCUUCAACAGGGGUCCUGAUGCCUGGGACUCGCCACCAGAAGGAAAUACAACAGAGGGACUAAUUGAUUCAUUGGAAGGUGUUUCUAACUGUAUUUUCUGAUGAAUUUGUCACCUGGAUGUUUGUGGGAAGGAACCAUUGGAUAGUUGUGGCUGUCACACUGCCGACUGUCUCUCAUUUUGUCACUGUACAGGACAUGAGGCUUAUGUCUUGAAUGCUCAGUUCCCAGCUUCUGAGGUGGAGCCUACUGGUCAGAAGUUGGUGAGUAGGGUCUUGCUUCUGAAGGUUAUACCUGGCCCUGGUUCUGCCUGGAUUCUUUGCUUCCUAUAUGUUGCCAACUGAAUAACACCUUGCCACAUACUCCCACUACCAUGAACUCUCCUAGGCUUUUCCCAGUCAUGGGCAGCAGCUGUUUGAAAGUGGGAGUCCAGACAAACCCCUCUUCCUCUGUUUCUGGGAGCAUGAAUACAUAUUGCAUGAGAGGUUGUGUUUAUGAUCCUCCUGCAUUGGCUUCUUGAGAACUGGGAUCCUGGGGGAUACCACUCUCCGCUAGGAUGACUCUUGUUGGUCCUCACGGUUGUAUAAAACCCUCCAAACUACUUUUUAAAAACAAAUUCUUGAUUAUGUCUUUUCCUGGAAGCUGCUCCCCUGCCUUUCUCGCCAUCUCAUUGAUAAAUGCCCUUUUGUCGAAUAAAGUGUGUUGAAUCAUCCGCAAUUCUGCCUUCAUUCAUCAUUUGACCGAAAGGCUUGGAUCCUGAAUCUUUCAGGGGAAAAGGGAAGGAGGUAGGAGGGGAAAAAAAGCAAAGGAUAGAAGGAGGGGACGGAAAGGAACAGGAUUGUGAGAUCCGUAUUUACUUUCACAGGGGAUUUUUCCCCCCUCCUUUUUCUAAGAAUCCAGGUCCUAUGUAAUCUGGGAAACAAGUGCUUUUAGCCUUUUCUUCUCCAACCGGACAGCUCGAUAUCUUUCCAGGGAUUUGGUAAAGAAAUCAAAUCCAGUGAGUGGGAGCUUGAUAAGACUGAGGACUGUGUCACACAAUGGAACAGAAAGGUAAGGCUAGGUCACAUAUACUGGGCAACUGUGCUGAGGAUGUGGGCAGAGGAACUUCUGGAGACUGUUGCUGGAGAUGCAAGUUAGUCCAGCCAUUAUGGAAAUGAGUAUGGAAGUUCCUGAAAAAAUACCAAAGGCUGAAGCAUUCGAUAUGAUCAAGCUGCAUCACUCCCCGUUGCACACCUGAGAGGAUCCAAAUCAAGGCACUGCAGAGCCACCCACCCAUCUACGUUUAUUACCACACUACUUAUGAUAGCAAGUUCUGGAAUCAGCCCAGAUGCCUAUCAACAGCUGAGUGGAUAAAGAAAGCGUAGUAUAUUUACACACUGAGAAUAUUAUUCAGCUGUAAAGAAGAAUAAAAUUCUGGCAUUUGUAGAAGAAUGGAUGGAACUAAAUAGCAUGUUAAGCAAAAUAAUCCAGAGUUUUGAGGAUAAUUAUCUUGUGUUUCUUUUUAUAUGAAGAACCUAGAUGUUUAAAAUCAGCACGAGACUAAAAGAGAGACAGUUUGGAAAGAGAAACCAGCUGAAAGGGCUCCCCUUUACUGUAUCUGGCAAAGCCCCAUCUGGUGAAAGACCGUGUCUCUUCCUCAGACUCCACUUGCACCUCAGCAGCAGGCUGUUGUCAAAAUAACACCGGAGACUAUACUGAUGGGCUUCCUUCAAAUACGCGAUCGGAUCAGAAACUCCUGUGGGCUCACCAGAUGUCAGGAGCGAUGGGACACCAGAGGCGGAAGAACCUAUGUCCCCAGGCUACAGCAAAGCUCCCAGCCCUAUGAAAAUCAUCUAGCCUGCUCUGAGCCACAUGCCUAGAGGUCACAGAGGCAUGCGGGAAAGUGAGAGGAAGUGGAAACGUGCUACAAAAAGGGCUCAAAGCAAUGUGCUCACCACCGGAAAAAAAAAUAAAAAUAAACACCCUCAGAAAUAGUGUAA